rnacentral:rRNA from 1 species
UACGUAGGGUGCAGGCGUUAAUCGGAAUUACUGGGCGUAAAGCGUGCGCAGGCGGUUUGCUAAGACAGGUGUGAAAUCCCCGGGCUUAACCUGGGAACUGCGCUUGUUACUGGCAAGCUAGAGUGUGGCAGAGGGGGGUGGAAUUCCAGGUGUAGCAGUGAAAUGCGUAGAUAUCUGGAGGAAGACCAGUGGCGAAGGCGAGUCUCUGGACAGCAACUGACGCUGAGGCACGAAGGCCAGGGGAGCAAACGGG